UACGUAGGGCGCGAGCGUUGUCCGGAUUUAUUGGGCGUAAAGAGCUCGUAGGCGGCUUGUCGCGUCGAAUGUGAAAACUCGGGGCUCAACUCCGAGCUUGCAUUCGAUACGGGCAGGCUAGAGUUCGGUAGGGGAGACUGGAAUUCCUGGUGUAGCGGUGAAAUGCGCAGAUAUCAGGAGGAACACCGGUGGCGAAGGCGGGUCUCUGGGCCGAUACUGACGCUGAGGAGCGAAAGCGUGGGGGAGCGAACAGG
rnacentral:rRNA from 1 species